AACUCAACACUGAACACAAAGGUAGUGCUUUGUUUAUGCAGUGAAACAUUUUGGAGACCUGCAAAAGGAAGGAGCAGCAUUUCUUUCUAUUACUACUAUCUAUGCUGAGACUGGUUCAGGUUUUGUAGUACCAAGUGCUUCUGCCAAAGCAGGUGUGGAAGCCAUGAGCAAGUCUCUUGCAGCUGAAUGGGGUAAAUAUGGAAUGCGAUUCAAUGUGAUUCAACCAGGGCCUAUAAAAACCAAAGGUGCCUUUAGCCGUCUGGACCCAACUGGAACAUUUGAGAAAGAAAUGAUUGGCAGAAUUCCCUGUGGUCGCCUGGGGACUGUAGAAGAACUCGCAAAUCUUGCUGCUUUCCUUUGUAGUGAUUAUGCUUCUUGGAUUAAUGGAGCAGUCAUUAAAUUUGACGGUGGAGAGGAAGUACUUAUUUCAGGGGAGUUCAACGACCUGAGAAAGGUCACCAAGG
rnacentral:sRNA from 1 species